UGGGGAAUUUUGCGCAAUGGGCGAAAGCCUGACGCAGCAACGCCGCGUGUGUGAUGAAGGUCUUCGGAUUGUAAAGCACUUUCGACCGGGACGAAAACCCUCUGGCUAACAUCCAGGGGCUUGACGGUACCGGGAGAAGAAGCACCGGCUAACUCUGUGCCAGCAGCCGCGGUAAUACAGAGGGUGCAAGCGUUGUUCGGAAUUAUUGGGCGUAAAGCGCGUGUAGGCGGCUUUGCAAGUCGGGUGUGAAAGCCCUCAGCUCAACUGAGGAAGUGCGCCAGAAACUGCAGAGCUUGAGUACCGGAGAGGGUGGCGGAAUUCCCCAAGUAGAGGUGAAAUUCGUAGAUAUGGGGAGGAACACCGGUGGCGAAGGCGGCCACCUGGACGGUCACUGACGCUGAGACGCGAAAGCGUGGGGAGCAAACAGG
rnacentral:rRNA from 1 species